rnacentral:lncRNA from 1 species
CUGCAGUUCAGAAUGAGACAGCCUUCAUCAAAGCCACCCAGAUGUCAGCACCAUCCAGAACUAUGAGAAACCAGCUAUGAACAUUAUUUUUAAAGCCAACAAUGAGCUCUGUGCUUGCAUAAUACAGCCCAAAUCUCCAAACACACAGAUGCCACUGCCUCUGAAUCAAAGUCUCACGCAUCACUGGCCGGUCUUGUCAAAGGGAGGUGAAGCCUGGUCUCCAUUUGCGCCUGCUUUCUCCUCCACCUCCCACGGUGUACUGCAGAAGGAGACAGCUGGGGGAGACGUCACGGAUGUAUUCCGAACGUACAAUGCUGCAGAAUUCUGACAAGCCAUCUAUGAGGUCAGUGGAGUUUACCCCUAAACC